GGUAUUUUGACUAUACAAAGGUAUUGAAAUAAGACUUUAAUUGAGUGCUAAGAGAAUGGAAUUUCAAAAAAAAUCUUUCUUAAAUUUAAUAAUCGAAGUUAUUUUUUUUUUGUGCAGAAACAAAAAUGCUAAUUAAGGACAAGAAGACCCUAAGAAUUUUCUAAAAUUCAUUAAUUUUGUUUUAAUGAAUUUUUUUUAAUUGGGGCGAUUAAUAAAUAUAAAAAACUUUAUUUUUUUUUAAAAUGAACCACUAUUAUUGGUAAAAUGAUCAAAAUACUCUAGGGAUAACAGCGUAAUAAUUUUUAAUAGUUCCUAUUGACAAAAUAGUUUGCGACCUCGAUGUUGGAUUAGGAUUCUUUUUUAAUGAAGAAGUUAAAAAAAGAAGUUUGUUCAACUUUUAAAUUCCUA
rnacentral:rRNA from 1 species